rnacentral:rRNA from 1 species
AUUGAACGCUGGCGGCAUGCCUUACACAUGCAAGUCGAACGGCAGCACGGGAGCAAUCCUGGUGGCGAGUGGCGAACGGGUGAGUAAUAUAUCGGAACGUGCCCAGUCGUGGGGAUAACGUAGCGAAAGCUACGCUAAUACCGCAUACGAUCUAUGGAUGAAAGCGGGGGAUCGCAAGACCUCGCGCGAUUGGAGCGGCCGAUAUCAGAUUAGGUAGUUGGUGAGGUAAAGGCUCACCAAGCCGACGAUCUGUAGCUGGUCUGAGAGGACGACCAGCCACACUGGGACUGAGACACGGCCCAGACUCCUAACGGGAGGGCAGCAGUGGGGAAUUUUUGGACAAUGGNGCAAGCCUGAUCAGCAAUGCGCGUGCAGGAU